GACGAACCGUGCGAACGUUAUUCGGAAUCAUUGGGCUUAAAGGACGCGUAGGCGGGCGACCGCGUCGAGUGCUGAAAUCCCCCGGCUCAACCGGGGAACGGGCACCGAAACGGGUCGCCUCGAGGCGAGGAGGGGGACCUGGAACUUCCGGUGGAGCGGUGAAAUGCGUUGAGAUCGGAAGGAACGCCCGUGGCGAAAGCGAGGUCCUGGACGUCUGCUGACGCUGAGACGCGAAAGCCAGGGGAGCGAACGG
rnacentral:rRNA from 1 species